UACGUAGGGGGCUAGCGUUGUCCGGAAUCAUUGGGCGUAAAGAGCGUGUAGGCGGUCCGGUAAGUCCGCUGUGAAAGUCGGGGGCUCAACCCUCGAAUGCCGGUGGAUACUGUCGGGCUAGAGUGCGGAAGAGGCGAGUGGAAUUCCUGGUGUAGCGGUGAAAUGACGCAGAUAUCAGGAGGAACACCUAUUGCGAAGGCAGCUCGCUGGGACGUUACUGACGCUGAGAACGCGAAAGCGUGGGGAGCAAACAACGG
rnacentral:rRNA from 1 species